UUGAGGGCAUGGGAGAGGCACGGAGGGGUGAAGGCGAGGUCGAGGCACGCGUGGACGCAGCUCCGCUCGCGAUCGGCCGUCGCAGGCACAGCGUCACCACCGACGAGUCGCGCACUCCGACCUUGGCGCCCGACCUGCGCCGCCUCUGCUCCUUCGGCGGCCGGAGGCCCCCACUGUUGGCCGCCUUCCGUGCAGAUCGGGAGAGGGAGGCGGACGCGGCGUCCC
rnacentral:lncRNA from 1 species